GGGCUGCAGUAUUUUGACUGUACAAAGGUAGCAUAAUCAUUAGUCAUUUAAUUGAUGACUUGUAUGAAAGAUUGGAUGAAAUAUAAACUGUCUCUUAAUUAUGAUAUAAAAUUUAAUUUUUUAGUUAAAAAGCUAAAAUUNNUUAAAAAGACGAGAAGACCCUAUAGAGUUUUAUAAAUUAUAAUUAUUAAGAUUAUUUAUAAAAUUAAUAAUUAAAAUAAUUUAAUUUAAUUUGUUGGGGUGACAAAAAAAUAAAAAUAACUUUUUUUUUAUUAGACAUAAAUAAGUGAAUAAUUGAUCCAAUAUUAUUGAUUAUAAGAAAAAAUUACCUUAGGGAUAACAGCGUAAUUUUUUUUUUUAGUUCAUAUAAAAAAAAGAGUUUGCGACCUCGAUGUUGGAUUAAGAUAAAAUUUAAAUG
rnacentral:rRNA from 1 species